GGCUGUGGCUCAGUGGUAGAGCAUCUGCUUUCCAUGCAUAAUGUCUCUGGUUCAGUCUCUGGUCUCCAGGUAGAGUUU